AUGUAGAUCAAUUUAUAUACAUAUACAUAGUAGUGUAUAUAUGUAGUUUAUGUUUUAUAAAAAAUAUUUCAUUCAACUCGCAUUCCAGUUGGCUUGCACUUUUGUUGUUGUUGUCUUUUAUGCUGCGUCUUUUAACUGUUUAUCUAUAGCUCAAUAUACACAUAUAGACAUAUAUAUCCAGCCAUAUAGUUCGAUCUGUAGCUUGUCUUUUGUUUGAACAUUCUCUGAUUGUCGUUGGCAUCGGGGAUUGGGUUCUGGUCUGGUAUUAUGGACUUUUUUUUUUUUUGGCUCCUGCCUUCUUUGCACUGGUUUUCACAUGUUUUGGAAUCCGUGAAAACAGGUGAAACACAAGCGGAAUUCGUUGAUAUGUGUGUGCAUGGCUGUAUGUGUGUGUGUGUGUGUGU